GGAGUCUAGCAUGUGCGCAAGUCAUUGGGAUAUAACUAAACCUAAAGGCACAAUGAAAGUAAAUGUUUAUCUAGCAUAAACUAAGGGAGGAUAAGUAAUUAUUAAUAUAAUAUUGCUUCGCACUCCCGGGGCGUCUCAUUCUCAUUUAUGAGAAGAGGCGCACCAAGAGCGUACACGCUGGGACCCGAAAGAUGGUGAACUAUGCCUGGUCAGGACGAAGUCAGGGGAAACCCUGAUGGAGGUCCGUAGCGAUUCUGACGUGCAAAUCGAUCGUCGGAACUGGGUAUAGGGGCGAAAGACUAAUCGAACCAUCUAGUAGCUGGUUCCCUCCGAAGUUUCCCUCAGGAUAGCUGGCGCUUAUUAGCGUACGAGUUUCAUCCGGUAAAGCGAAUGAUUAGAGGCAUUGGGGUCGAAACGGCCUCAACCUAUUCUCAAACUUUAAAUGGGUGAGAUCUUCGGCUUGCUUAAACAACAUAUUUUAUAUGUUGAAGCCGUAAGAUUUAAUUGAAUCAAAGUGCCAAGUGGGCCAUUUUUGGUAAGCAGAACUGGCGCUGUGGGAUGAACCAAACGUUGAGUUAAAGCGCCUAAAUCGACGCUUAUGGGAUACCAUGAAAGGCGUUGGUAACUUAAGACAUCAGGACGGUGGCCAUGGAA
rnacentral:rRNA from 1 species